GGUGAACGCUGGCGGCGUGCCUAACACAUGCAAGUCGAGCGGUGCAGUUUGAAGCUUCGGUGGAAAGCUGCAUAGCGGCGGACGGGUGAGGAAAACGUAGGAACGUGCCCCUUGGAGUUGGAUAGCCACGGGAAACUGUGGGUAAACCGACAUAGACUCGAGAGAGUAAAGGCCGAAAGGCGCCAAGGGAGCGGCCUGCGGCCCAUCAGGUAGUUGGUAGUGUAAAGGACUACCAAGCCGACGACGGGUAGCCGGUCUGAGAGGAUGGCCGGCCACAAGGGCACUGAGAGACGGGCCCUACUCCUACGGGAGGCAGCAGUGGGGGAUUUUGGACAAUGGGCGAAAGCCUGAUCCAGCGACGCCGCGUGGAGGACGAAGCCCUUCGGGUGUAAACUCCUUUCUCAGGGAAAAGGAAUGAUGGUACCUGAGGAAUAAGCCCCGGCUAACUACGUG
rnacentral:rRNA from 1 species